rnacentral:rRNA from 1 species
AUCUUUUGAUCAAGCUACUAAGGGCAUAUGGUGGAUGCCUUGGCACUAGCAGGCGACGAAAGACGUGACAAGCUGCGAUAAGCUCCGGGGAGUUGCAAAUAAGCUUUGAUCCGGAGAUUUCUGAAUGGGGUAACCCUUCCUGAGUAAUGUCAGGAAAUCUUUGGGCUGAAUACAUAGGUCCAUGGAAGCGAGACGAGGGGAAGUGAAACAUCUCAGUACCCUCAGGAACAGAAAACGAAGUUAUUUCCUCAGUAGCGGCGAGCGAACGGGAAGAAGCCCAAACCGUAAGGUGUGUUAAAGUCUGCAGACGUUGCACCUUCGGGGUAGCGGGGCUUUGGCGCAUCCUGCCUGCAGGCAGGAAGAAAAGUUACCAAAUUAUAGCUUAGCUGAAAAGCGUGGAAAAGCUUGCCAUAGAUGGUGAAAGCCCAGUAAGUCAAAAGCUAUAAUCUUUUCUGCCGGAGUUUCCAAGUAACACGGGACACGUGAAAUCCCGUGCGAAUCUGCCCAGACCACUGGGUAAGGCUAAAUACUAGCUAGUGACCGAUAGUGGACUAGUACCGUGAGGGAAAGGUGAAAAGUACUCCUGACGGAGGGUGAAAUAGUACCUGAAACCAUAUGCUUACAAGCGGUCGGAGCCUGACUUUUUGUCUUCGGACGGAAAGAAGGGUGACGGCGUGCCUAUUGAAUAAUGAUCCGGCGAGUUACUGUGAGUUGCUAGGUUAACCCAAACACUGGGGUAGCCGUAGCGAAAGCGAGUCCGAACAGGGCGACUAAGUAGCUUAUAGUAGACCCGAAGCUUAGUGAUCUAAGCAUGGCCAGGAUGAAGUCCAGGUUAAACUGGAUGGAGGUCCGAACCCACUAAAGUUGAAAAUUUAGGGGAUGAGCUGUGCUUAGGGGUGAAAGGCUAAUCAAACUGAGCGAUAGCUGGUUCUCCCCGAAAUAGCUUUAGGGCUAGCCUCGUUUGUAGACAGAAGGAGGUAGAGCACUGGAUGGGCAAGGGGCCCUAAAAGGCUUCCAACCCCAACCAAACUCCGAAUGCCUUUUGUUUUGAACGGGAGUCAGGUAGUGAGGGAUAAGCUUCAUUGCCAAAAGGAGAAUAACGCCAGACCACCAGCUAAGGUCCCCAAAUAUUGGCUAAGUGAUAAAGGAUGUGGAGUUACUUAGACAACUAGGAUGUUGGCUUAGAAGCAGCCACCAUUUAAAGAGUGCGUAAAUGCUCACUAGUCAAGUGAUUCUGCGCCGACAAUUCUCGGGACUCAAGCCAGUUACCGAAGCUGUGGAUUCAGGGUGUCAUUGACACUCUGAGUGGUAGGGGAGCAUUCUAUUCUAGGUUGAAGCUCCGACGUGAGUCGGGGUCGACGAAAUAGAAGAGAUUAUGCUGGAACGAGUAGCGAUAAAGCCGAUGAGAAAUCGGCUCACCGAAAACCUAAGGUUUCCUGAGCAAGGUUAAUCCGCUCAGGGUUAGUCGGUACCUAAGCCGAGGCCGACAGGCGUAGGCGAUGGAGAUGUUGUUAAUAUUCAACUACCACCUAAAACGCGUCUGAGCUAAAGGGGUGACGCAGAAGCCUAAACCAGCCCGGUGUUGGAAUUCCGGGUCCAACCUGGUAGAGGGUGAGGAUUGGUAAAUCCGUCCUCACAUUACCUCGAGAAGGGAUGGGGAGUCCGCAAGGACACAAACUGGUGGCAAAGCCAGCUGCCAAGAAAAACCUCGAUAGCGAGUUUUUUAGGUGACCGUACCGUAAUCCGACACAGGUAGGUGAGGAGAAGAUCCUAAGGUGCUCGAGCUAACCCUCGUUAAGGAACUAGGCAUAAUGACCCCGUAACUUCGGGAGAAGGGGUGUCCUCAAGUAUGUGCUUUGACUUCGCGUUGAGGCGCAGAAGAGGAUCACAGUAAAGUGGCCUGGGUGACUGUUUACUAAAAACACAUGUCUCUGCUAAGCCUCUCAAGGCGAUGUAUAGGGACUGACACCUGCCCGGUGCCGGAAGGUUAAAGGGUGAGGUCAUCCCCGAGCAAUCGGGGAGAAGCUUCUAACUGAAGCCCCGGUAAACGGCGGCCGUAACUAUAACGGUUCAAAUUCGUUGUAGCUACCGUGAACGCAAGUUCAUUUAACGAAAGGGCCGUUGAAAAAUCUGGCUAUAUGCUGGAACCUCCGAGUAUCUGACACUACCCCGAUAGUAUCGGGGUGAAAAUGUGUUCAGUGCGGACAAUCAGCAGGGAAGUCCCGUUUUGCGGGAUCCCCCAGAGACUAUACGCCAGACUCCCCGCCAAAGGCGGGGAUGAUGAUAUAGUCCGAACUCCGACGCGAGUCGGAGAGUCAGGCAGAAAUGACCUGACCAUCCCCCAAUUAAUCUGGGGAAAGUAACAAUUUGCCUAAGGUAGCGAAAUUCCUUGUCGGGUAAGUUCCGACCUGCACGAAUGGUGUAACAACUUGGGCGCUGUCUCAACGAGGGACUCGGCGAAACUGUAGCAGCGGUGAAGAUGCCGCUUACCCGCAUCGGGACGGAAAGACCCCGUGAACCUUUACUAUACCCUGGCAUUGGAUUUUGGUCAAUCAUGCGUAGCAUAGGUGGGAGACUUUGAACCCCUGGCGCUAGUUGGGGGGGAGUCAACAGUGAAAUACCACCCUUGAUCUAUCGAAAUUCUAACUUAGACCCCUAAUCUGGGCCAAGGACAUUGCCAGGCGGGUAGUUUGACUGGGGCGGUCGCCUCCUAAACGGUAACGGAGGCGUCCAAAGGUUUCCUCAAGCUGUUUGGUAAUCAGCUUUUGAGCGCAAAGGUAUAAGGAAGCUUAACUGUGAGACUUACUAGUCGAGCAGAUGCGAAAGCAGGGCUUAGUGAUCCGGCGGUAGGGCGUGGAACUGCCGUCGCUCAGCGGACAAAAGGUACUCCGGGGAUAACAGGCUGAUCUCCACCGAGAGUUCAUAUCGACGUGGGGGUUUGGCACCUCGAUGUCGGCUCAUCGCAUCCUGGGGCUGGAGAAGGUCCCAAGGGUUUGGCUGUUCGCCAAUUAAAGCGGUACGUGAGCUGGGUUUAGAACGUCGUGAGACAGUUCGGUCCCUAUCUGAUGUGGGCGCAGGAGAUUUGAGAGGAGCUGUCCUUAGUACGAGAGGACCGGGAUGGAGGAACCUCCAGUAUACCAGUUGUCUUGCCAAAGGUAGCGCUGGGUAGCUGUGUUCCGCGUGGAUAAGCACUGAAAGCAUCUAAGUGCGAAACCCACCUCAAGAAUAGAUCUCACUUCCGAGUAAUCGGAACUAAAGGCUUCUGGUAGAUUACCAGUUUGAUAGGUCGCAGAUGUAAGGCCCGUAAAGGCUUCAGUCGAGCGAUACUAAUCAGCCGUGCGGCUUGAUCAUAAUAUAUU